GCUGGGUGUGGUGGUGGGCGCCUGUAAUCCCAGCUACUUGGGAGGCUGAGGCAGGAGAAUCGCUUGAAUCCAGGAGGUGGAGGCUGCAGUGAGCUGAGAUCACGCCACUGCACUCCAACCUGGGUGACAGAGCGAGACUCUGUCUCCA
rnacentral:SRP_RNA from 1 species